rnacentral:rRNA from 1 species
AAGCGGCGGACGGGUGAGUAACGCGUGGGUAACCUACCCUGUACACACGGAUAACAUACCGAAAGGUAUGCUAAUACGGGAUAAUAUAUUUGAGAGGCAUCUCUUAAAUAUCAAAGGUGAGCCAGUACAGGGUGGACCCGCGUCUGAUUAGCUAGUUGGUAAGGUAACGGCUUACCAAGGCGACGAUCAGUAGCCGACCUGAGAGGGUGAUCGGCCACAUUGGAACUGAGACACGGUCCAA